CCUGUGGCUGCUGAGUGUGAUUUAAAUGAGUUGACGGUAAUAUUCAAAUUUUCAGUGGUCUUUUCAUUUUGAAUAUGACCGUCAACUCAUUCCAAUGUCACUCAGCAACCGUAGGAUGACUUCAGAAAAAUGU